GACGAGGCACUACGGUGCUGAAGCAACAAAUGCCCUGCUUCCAGGAAAAGCCUCUAAGCAUCAGGUAACAUCAAAUCGUACCCCAAACCGACACAGGUGGUCAGGUAGAGAAUACCAAGGCGCUUGAGAGAACUCGGGUGAAGGAACUAGGCAAAAUGGUGCCGUAACUUCGGGAGAAGGCACGCUGACACGUAGGUGAAGUGAUUUACUCAUGGAGCUGAAGUCAGUCGAAGAUACCAGCUGGCUGCAACUGUUUAUUAAAAACACAGCACUGUGCAAACACGAAAGUGGACGUAUACGGUGUGACGCCUGCCCGGUGCCGGAAGGUUAAUUGAUGGGGUCAGCGCAAGCGAAGCUCCUGAUCGAAGCCCCGGUAAACGGCGGCCGUAACUAUAACGGUCCUAAGGUAGCGAAAUUCCUUGUCGGGUAAGUUCCGACCUGCACGAAUGGCGUAAUGAUGGCCAGGCUGUCUCCACCCGAGACUCAGUGAAAUUGAACUCGCUGUGAAGAUGCAGUGUACCCGCGGCAAGACGGAAAGACCCCGUGAACCUUUACUAUAGCUUGACACUGAACAUUGAGCCUUGAUGUGUAGGAUAGGUGGGAGGCUUUGAAGUGUGGACGCCAGUCUGCAUGGAGCCGACCUUGAAAUACCACCCUUUAAUGUUUGAUGUUCUAACGUGGACCCGUAAUCCGGGUUGCGGACAGUGUCUGGUGGGUAGUUUGACUGGGGCGGUCUCCUCCUAAAGAGUAACGGAGGAGCACGAAGGUUGGCUAAUCCUGGUCGGACAUCAGGAGGUUAGUGCAAUGGCAUAAGCCAGCUUGACUGCGAGCGUGACGGCGCGAGCAGGUGCGAAAGCAGGUCAUAGUGAUCCGGUGGUUCUGAAUGGAAGGGCCAUCGCUCAACGGAUAAAAGGUACUCCGGGGAUAACAGGCUGAUACCGCCCAAGAGUUCAUAUCGACGGCGGUGUUUGGCACCUCGAUGUCGGCUCAUCACAUCCUGGGGCUGAAGUAGGUCCCAAGGGUAUGGCUGUUCGCCAUUUAAAGUGGUACGCGAGCUGGGUUUAGAACGUCGUGAGACAGUUCGGUCCCUAUCUGCCGUGGGCGCUGGAGAACUGAGGGGGGCUGCUCCUAGUACGAGAGGACCGGAGUGGACGCAUCACUGGUGUUCGGGUUGUCAUGCCAAUGGCACUGCCCGGUAGCUAAAUGCGGAAGAGAUAAGUGCUGAAAGCAUCUAAGCACGAAACUUGCCCCGAGAUGAGUUCUCCCUGAGACUUUAGGUCUCCUGAAGGAACGUUGAAGACGACGACGUUGAUAGGCCGGGUGUGUAAGCGCAGCGAUGCGUUGAGCUAACCGGUACUAAUGAACCGUGAGGCUUAACCUU
rnacentral:rRNA from 1 species